rnacentral:tRNA from 1 species
CCUGGUGGCUCAAACGUUAAAGCGUCUGCCUGCAAUGCAGGAGACCUGGGUUCGAUCCCUGGGUCAGGA